rnacentral:rRNA from 1 species
UAAGCCGUUGAAGGUGGCCUGUGAGGGUUGCUGGAGGUAUCAGAAGUGCGAAUGCUGACAUAAGUAACGAUAAAGCGGGUGAAAAGCCCGCUCGCCGGAAGACCAAGGGUUCCUGUCCAACGUUAAUCGGGGCAGGGUGAGUCGACCCCUAAGGCGAGGCCGAAAGGCGUAGUCGAUGGGAAACGGGUUAAUAUUCCCGUACUUGGUGUUACUGCGAAGGGGGGACGGAGAAGGCUAUGUUGGCCGGGCGAC